GGAGUGCAGUGGCGCAAUCUCAGGUCACUGCAACCUCUGCCUCCCGGGUUGAAGCAAUUCUCCUGUCUCAGCUCUCGAGUAGCUGGGAUUACAGGAAAAGCUGACCUUCUGGUACGGAAGAGCAUGAGCAGUGAGUGAGCAGUGCCCAUGCGUUGUGAGGCGGCCUCCAUGGUAUAAGGUUUAGGCAAAUAAUGAUGAACAAAAAUGGUCAGUCUGUGUUCCUGCUGACCCAGCACAGUGGGGACGCUGUGUAGGACAUGACCUUUGGGGGAAAGGACACAAGAACUCAGCGUGGGGGAUCCAGAAAAGAAGUCGCACGUAUUGAAGCCAGUAACGCCAAGCCAGUGAAUUCUCCUUGACGAGAAAGACCCACUUACUCUGCAGAAGAGAUAUAUGACAGCUGACAAUCCCUGGAGGAGAAUCUUUCUACUAAAUUGUUGAAAACAUUCAAGUACGGAAUAAACUAUUACUGCGAAUACGCUCAUAUGACACAAGAACAAUCUCUGAGCUUCUUUGAGGAUGUCCAGAUGACUGCUGACUGCACUAAUUGCAUCAAUCGUGUAUCCAUACAGGCCUGCCACAAGAAUACGAAGGCCAGAGCUCCAGCAGCUGUUGGAGCCACGAUGUGACCCUGAAGGCAGGAAACUCAGCUUUGGAAGUAACUCCAGGUUGAAGAACUUCUACUUAUAGGCAUCUAUUCAACGAAGACGAAUCCUGGAAUGGGGAUGGAAAUGAUGGCUCAUGUCUUAGCAAACUACCAAACUGAUCCGAGAGGACAGGGAAGUCAGUGUGGGCGGCUCUAAGGAGCCUCCCUCUCUACAGCUGCGGCUCAGAGGAUUACGGCGCUUCAUCCACAAGGCAACAUUGCACAAUUCCCACACACAUUUAGUGUCGUCUCAAAAUUCACGCUGUCAACUGUCUCUAGGAAUCAUUUCCAUCUGAGAACAGACCACACAAAGACACAGUGAAACUCAGUUUCUGCAGAAUUUGAUUUCAUUUGAGUUACUGGGGAACAAAGCAAUUAGACAAUGAAUAAUAGCUCAAGACAGGCUGAAGCUGAAGAUUUCUGCAAAAGAAUGAAGAGGAAACGUUUUGAUCCUGAGCAGAUGUUCUCCCUAGAUUGCUUCACCUGAGGUUGAUUGACUUUUGGAAACGAGAUUUGUUCCCAGUGCUUUGUGAGUCUCUUGUUGGAAGGACUGUCUUUAAAUUAAAGCAAUUAGAGUUACUUUAUAAGAUUUACCCAAAUAUAAGAGCUGAAGAGAAUAAUUCAAAUUGAUCAGAAGAAAAUACUCAAUUACUGACAAAUGUCAAUUACAUCAAUAGCCUAGGCUGCUCUUGAACUCCUGGGCUCAAACGAUCCUCCCCUGUCGGCCUCCCAAAGUGCUGGGAUUACAAGCUUGAACCACCAUGCCCAGCCUCAGAAAUUUUUUAAAUGACAGCUCAUACAGUUUUCUUUUAUAAAGGAGGAGAAAAUGUGUAAUUGUAAGCAGCUGAACUAAAAUAUCUCUGUGACAUUUUGCUGGUGACUCCAGCCCUGUGAGAUCUGAGUGGCUCAGGAAUCAAAUUCUCCCACAAACCUGAGGAAGCCUUUUAUUCUUAAUGCCAACAGGAUGCCCCAUGCCCAGAAUGUCAAAUCUGAACACCAAUGGAAUGCAUUUUAUAAACAAAUUGAAAAAGGACAAUCUUUAACAGAAUUGUUGUUCUCUAGGCAGAUUAGUUGUGCUUCAAAUACAAAAUGAAAUAUUAGAGAACAAAAUUAUUUUUAAACAGCUAAUACUAGUAGAAAAUAAAAGGCUGAAAAGUG
ensembl:lncRNA LINC02436 long intergenic non-protein coding RNA 2436